ensembl:lncRNA
CGGCAGGAAUAUUAACAAGAACCCAACAUUUAGUGCUCUAGUAAUCCCAGUGAUUAAGACCUGCUGACAGUUGAAGGUAAAGUUUAUUGUUACUCUGGGACCCAGGGUGUGCUGCCAUAUUAAAAACUGGCUCCGCAUGCAGAGCUGGCCGUCAAACAGACACAAGAGACGAGGCGAGAUCAAAGGUUUGCCCAGUGAAGAUCUCACCACUACACUGGUACCGUUGAGCUUGGGAAUGUGUGUUUAUGGAAAUGUGUGCUGUGCGAGUUAAUCCAGGUUGUAGGUUCAUUUGAAAACGCACAAUAACACUGCGUGAGUGGACUCACUCGAGGAAAUUGUAGGUCAUAUUAGGGCUGUGAAAGCUAAGUGAUACAACAGAUUUCAAUAAUAUGCAAAAAAAAGAAAGAAGAAGAUGUUCUGAAAAUAUUCCAGCUAGAAUAAUUAUCUAUGAGCAAACUACAUUCUAUUUAUCAUCUACCCUGUGUGUAUUGUACAAAAUCAGUGUUUACUUACGAAGACACAGGCCGUCCCUGACCUUCACUUUGGAAAAAGUUUUUUCAAAGAACUACAAAACGAGAAAUAAAAUAAAAGCAAAGAAAAAAAACAGAAGAAGAAGAAAAAACUGGUUUUAGGGCAUAAAACAGACAUUGCAGCACAGUACGAUCCCAACUGCGCUCACUUAUAAAAAAAAAAAAAAAAGGAGCACAGCAUCCAUUUUUGGCUUUCCCGCCCAAUGUCCAAUCAGAUGCUCAGGUCGCAAGAUGAAAAUGCCACUCUUCCUGGAGGCAGCCCCGGGCAUGUCAUUAGGAGAAAAAUUUGAUGCCCCGCACAAAUGCUUGGAACUAUCAAGUGCAGUAAAAGUGAAAACUCAUCAGUUUUCCCCCAAAAUUUCCACACGACCUUGAUUCAAGUGUCAAGUGAGAGAGUGAGAGUGGGUCUGUGGGAUUAGGCCUUUAGGUGUCACUGUACUUUCAAGAAUCCGUCCUGCCCCCCAAACACACACACACGCGCGCACACACACACACACACACACACACACACACACACACGCGCGCACACACACACACGCACACACACACACACACACACGCACUGUAACAAAAUGGUGUCACGUUGGGGCAUCUAUUGUUCAAGAACGCUGGGUCUGGCUUUCACUCUAUUGUGGUGACACAGAGAGGGCUGCGUGCUACACUGAGUUCCCUUCUCCAGGGAUGGAUGAUUAAUGGGCGAAGCAACAACUUCAGAGUUGUUCACAAAAUCAAAUUUCUCACCGAAACGUCAAUCCGAACCUAAACUUUGACUGCCAUCGAGUUUUGUUGUCCCCCAUGUGUACAAAUUUAGCUCCCCCCUCCUUUCCCCCAAAACUUUAGUCCCUCUCUCCUUUUUUUUUUUUUUUUUCACUUCUUUGAAACAGCAAAUUCCCACCACUGCAGGCAAACUGCAAGCGAGCAGGACGCGCAAGGCUUAAUUGUGACAAAUUAUACUAAUGUUUACUCGUAAUAUG